rnacentral:rRNA from 1 species
UAGGGAAUCUUCCGCAAUGGACGCAAGUCAGACGGAGCAACGCCGCGUGAGUGAAGAAGGAUUUCGGUUCGUAAAACUCUGUUGUUAGAGAAGAACAGCGCAUAGAGUAACUGUUAUGCGUGUGACGGUAUCUAACCAGAAAGCCACGGCUAACUACGUGCCAGCAGCCGCGGUAAUACGUAGGUGGCAAGCGUUGUCCGGAUUUAUUGGGCGUAAAGCGAGUGCAGGCGGUCAAUUAAGUCUGAUGUGAAAGCCACCGGCUCAACCGGUGAGGGUCAUUGGAAACUGGUUGACUUUAGUGCUGAAGAGGAGCGUGGAAUUCCAUGUGUAGCGGUUAAAUGCGUAGAUAUCUGGAGGAACACCAGUGGCGAAGUCGACUCUCUGGUCUGUAACUGACGCUGUGGCUCGAAAGCGUGGGUAGCAAACAGG